UCGUCAUUGGUCACGAGUUUCUGGGAGGAGCUGUUCAGAGAGGAGAGACGGAUAUGAACCACGUUUGUGGCAUUGCCUCUGUUUGCCAGUACUGCUAGGUCCGGAUGCCUAAACUUUUUGUCGAACACAGGUGAGAUGCUAAAACAAGCUCUGGAGCUGUUUUGUCGAACACGGGUAAGAUUGAACGCUGAGCACACCUGCGGCGGAGGAGGUUUACUGGUUCAGCUGUUGCAGCCUGGACACAAACACCAGCUCCCACCUUAAAAAGCAAGCAGAGGCCUGGACUACGAAGGGAUUUUAAGCCACUCUGAUUUAACUCGGGUUAUCAAGGAACGUCGGGGUUGACAGACGUCGGCUGCCUCGAUCUGCGUUAACUACAGCGACGGUGAAGAUAUCGAGAGAAGAGACCGACAUGAAGAUGUUUCCAGAAGUGUGGCAUUCCAUCCAUCCGGAGACCAACUCCAACUGCCAAACUACCAAACAACUGGUUCUGCUGAUAUGUCGACUACAGGAGAGGGUAUGGAAAUGACAAUGGAUGUGGCAGCGGAGAGUUUAAAACGGUGCCAUUCAUAUGCCGAACAACAACUUGCGGAUUUUGAUGACUCUCCAAGCGCGAGCCCACAGAAAAAAAUCACCCCUCUGUGAGCCGGAGCCAUCCAACGCUGUCCUGCUGGCGGCUAUUAACAAGCUCAUUGAGACGCAGCUCAGUUUCAGGGAGAAACUGGAAUCCAUAGAGAAGUCCAUUGAGAAUAAUGUCAAGAGGAUAGAGAGUUGGCAUCCAGAGUGGAUCCCCUGGAGCUCCAGAUUAAAACCCUGACCGCUGAAAAUAAGAAGCUGAUGGACAGAGUGAACGACAUGGAUGCAUACUUCAGCAUCCACCACGCCGCACUAUAGUCCGCUUUUCACACCGGGCACACCGUGACCAAGUCUGGGCGGACGCUAAAACCUCUCAGGUCCUCAAGCAGAAGAACGUGAAGAUAUCGGAGGACUUAACUCAGCAGGUGAGGGAUGCAAGAGCGAAGCUGUGGCCGCUGGUAGAAGAGGCGAGGAGGCCUUUUUGCUAUCACUGCUGCCUUUGGCAGCUGAGAGGAUAGCUCCUGUCCUGAACUUGUUGGGAUACUUGUUCCAUGGGAGACUCAUUCCACUUCAAAAGAUGAAGCAUUUUGGCGCAAUCAGUGGGGAGGGAAAGUUAUUUUUUCUCAGGAGGUGUUUUAGUUUUACUCCAUGUUAAAUUUAAUGGUGAGAUCAUAUAUACAGAGGUUUCAGAUGGAUUCUGUUAGUAAUUCAAUGUGGAGAUAAUAUAUUUAUUUUGGUAAUGCUGGGAAUUCUAACAUCACACUCCUUAAGUUUUUGUCUGACAAAAUUCUCCAAGAAAUGAACAAAUUUUCCUCAGCAUCUGUGAUUGUUGGCGGUGACUUUAAUGAGGCUCCAAACUUAUGUACAGAUAGAGGUAAUCAAGAUCAUUUUAACCCUGUUUAUAUUUGAUUUAACUGAUCAUGCUGGAAUAGAUAUUUAUUUAUCAAAUUUAAGUUCUGCUCACCACAACAAACCUGGAUACUGGAAGUUAAACUCUUCCUUUCUACAACAAUCAGCUUAUUGUUUGGGUAAUAAACAAAUUAUCACUAAAUUCAACUCAAUGUCUGAAAUUACACCUACGCUAAAAUGGGAGCUACUCAAAUUUAAAUGUCAAAGUUUUUCAAUACGUUUUGGAAAGCAGCAAUUAAGAGAUCAAAAUAAGGCUUAUGCUAAUAAUUUAAAAGAGUUGAAUGAUUUAUUAAAUAUACCUGUUCCAAGUAAUGAAGAUAAAGUGCGUUUGCACUCAUUAAGGGAAAAAUUAGACCUUUUAUUCCAGACAAAAACAAGAGGAGCAUUCAUAAGGUCUCGGGCCAGAUGGUUGGAACGUGGAGAAAAGAACUCCUCCUUCUUUUUUAAUUUGGAGAAAAAACGUGGUGAGGCCAGAAAAAUAUCUGCCUUAUAUAUCGAUAACAGUCUCUCUGAAAAUGAUAAAGAAAUCUCUUCUUUUAUCUCUUAACUUUUAUCAAAAGUUAUACUCUUCCUCAUUUAACCCUCAGGCUUGUAGUGUCUUUUUUGAUAAAGUAUCCCCAUUCAUUCCUAAAACUUCCAGGGAGAAUUACGAGCUUUGUGAAAGUCCAAUUACGCUAGAAGAAUCGAAGAAGACUAUUACAAAAAUGCCAGCUAAUAAAAGUCCUGGUCCAGAUGGAUUGCCUUAUGAAUUUUAUGUAACUUUUUGGGAUGAUUUAAUAAAACAUUUGUUGUUGGGAGUGUUUGUGGAUUGUGCCAGAAAUAAGGAACUGACUGUUUCUAUGAAGCAAGGUUUAAUAUCACUAAUCCCUAAACCUGGUAAAGAUCUUCUUUAUCUGGAUAAUUGGCGUCUUAUAACGUUGCUAAAUUCAGACUGCAAAAUCCUUGCAGCACUGUACGCCAAUAGAUAAAAAUUUUGCUUAGAGGAAAUUAUUUCUGUAACACAGUCAGGUUUUAUGAAAGGUCGGCACAUUGCUAAUAAUAUUCGGCUUGUCCUAGAUAUUUUAGAUUAUAGAGACCUGUUUGAUCAAAAGUCACUGAUUUAGUUUUUGGACUUUUACAAAGCUUUUGAUACUCUGGAACACUCGUUUAUUUUUGAGGCUUUGCAAUAUUUUGGGUUCAAAGAAAACUUCAGGAACAUCAUAAGUACACUCUAUACCAAUAUUAAUAGCUGUGUAUCCCUGGCACAUGGUACUUCUCCUCGCUUUCAUAUAAACCGUGGGAUAAGACAAAAGGUGUCCAAUUUCACCUUUCUUAUUUUUGGUAGCUGCUGAACUUCUUAAUCUGUUCAUUGUUAACUGUGUGAAUAUAGAGGGUAUUAAGAUAGGUGACAAUGUUCUAACCAUUAGUCAGCUGGCUGAUGACACCUGUCUGUUUCUCCAAAAUGAACUUCAAGUCCCUGGGUAUCACAAUAAGCAAAUCUAUUAGUGAGAGGAUCUCUCAAAACGUUCUGCCAAAAAUUGAAAAGUCUAAAUCUAUCUUCAACUGCUGGUUACAGAGAGACCUUACUCGAAUUUUACUUUCUAAGGCAGAAGGUUUAUCUAGAUUAGCGUACCCAGCUUUAUCUUUAUAUGUAGAUCGCAAAACCUGUGCAGCUAUUGAUUCACUCUUAUUUACAUUUAUUUGGAAACACAAAAAUGAGAAUAUAAAGAGGAAGACAAUUAUCAGACACUAUUCAGAGGGUGGUGUUAAUGUGUUAGACUUCCAAACUAUCAACAGUAUAUUCAAACUCAACUGGAUAAAACAUUGUCUAGCACAUACUAAUGCGCCAUGGUUUUUUAUUCCCAAUUUUUUGUUUAAUAAAUGUGGUGGUUAAUUUACUUUACCUCAAGUGAAUUGCCUGUUAAGCUUGCCAACUUCCAUAAGCAAGCCCUGGACACAUGGGAAAUUGCUUUCAAACACAACUUUUCUCCUCACACAUGUAUCUUAUGCAAUAAUCAACAUAUUGUUUACAAGAAUAAGAUCUUAUUUUUAAAGAUUGGUACGAUCAGGGGGUUAUGUUUGUUUUUGAUCUUGUGAAUGAUAAGGGGGACCUAGCUGCAUAUGAAGAAUUCACCCAACGAAAAGGAUUAGACUUAUCUCGCUCUUUGCACUCCAGAGUACUCAAAAGUAUACCCACUAGUUUGUUGUCUCUUAUUAGAGCGCCUGUUCUGUACACACCUCUCUCAGGAAUGAGUCCUGCUCUGUGGCUGGGUGGAAAGGUUCUUGAGGAACGUUCAUGUAACAGUGCUCAUAUUAGGUCAGUUUGUACUUUUGUUCAUAGUCAGUAUCCAAACUCAUUUCAUCGUUGGAGAGUGAUGUUUCCUGAAAUCAGUAACAACAUCUGGACUGAAUUUAAUAGAUUUUUUUGUCUCCAAUAAAGUUAAAGAAAUACAUAUUAAAAUCUUACAUAGAUAUUAUCCCCGUAAUGAAUUCAUUAACAGAUUUAGACCUGAUGUGUCCCCUUUAUGUUCCUUCUGCAAAAAAGAGAUUGAGUCUUUAUGUCAUGUGUUUUAUGGAUGUGCCUAUUCUACUAACUUCUGGACUCUAUUAUCUUUAUUGAUUUGGGAAUAUCAUAAAGUUUUGGUCACUUUUACUGAAAAUAUGGUCUUAUUCUUAAAUGUUGACUGUAACAAUGAGGAAGUUAAAAAUGUAAUCAAACUGCUGUGUCUCUUGGGUAAAUUUCACAUCCAUAAGGCUAGAUUUCUCCAGGCCAAGCCAAAUGUAUCUUUGUUUUAUAUGGAGUGCAAAUCUUUUAAUGACGCUAUAGGUAAAAUUAGUAAGAAUAAGAAAGCUUUCAAGACAUCCAAUCUUUUGGAAAGUAUUAUACGUCAUAUCAAUAGGUAAUUUUUUUUCCUUUCUCCUCUGCUUUUUGUGUGAUAUUCAUUAUGUACUCCUUGUGUCUCCCUGUAUGUUUGGAUGAUGUCAUGUUUGUUUGUUAGUGUCUUUAAUGUGAUAAUAAAGUGUUAAAAAAAGAAAAAAAAAAAAAAGAAAGAAAGCGUAUGUCGUCAUUGGUUACGGCGUGGCUCGUCACUGGUCACGAGUUUCUGGGAGGAGCUGUUCAGAGAGGAGAGACGGAUAUGAGCCACGUUUGUAGCAUUGCCUCUGUUUGCCAGUACUGCUAGGUCCGGAUGCCUAAACUUUUUGUCGAACACGGGUGAGAUGCUAAAACAAGCUCUGGAGCUGUUUUGGUCGAACACGGGUUUACUGGUUCAGCUGUUGCAGCCUGGACACAAACACCAGCUCCCACCUUAAAAAGCAAGCAGAGGCCUGGACUACGAAGGGAGUUUAAGCCACUCUGAUUUAACUCGGGUUAUCAAGGAACGUCGGGGUUGACAGACGUCGGCUGCCUCGAUCUGCGUUAACUACAGCGAUGGUUAAGAUGUCAUAUAUGUUGAUGUGUGAAAAGUUACAUCAUCUCCCAAUGGAGGGGGGACGCCCGCUUCCGCCCCAAGCACUCCGGGCAGCAGCCUGCCUCGCCCCACCUCCUUUGUGGGCACCACAAGCUCCACCCCCCGCAACAAGGUGACCCAACCAGUGCGAAGUUUACUGACACCUCCAAAGAGCUUGUCCACCCUCAGUGCACUUCGUGACAGCACCCAGAGAGAUGGCUGCUACUGACGAGCGGAGGAAAAGGUCCAGUAGUGCAUUGGCACUCCGCUGGCUGGGGUAACUCACUACACCUCAACGUAACAUCUUUCAUAAGGGGAUAUUGAAUGGGUUUGACCAAAAAGUAACCUUAGAUCUGAGAGAUGCUGCAUAGAAUAGGUAGAUGUUACCACAGUUGAGGGUCUGAUCUGUUCUCUGACUGAUCUCUCAUGUCAUCCAUUCAAUCCUAAGCAGAAGCUUCACACUCGUAGGCUGAGUUUGGUCCGUGCCAAGGGGGAGUUGGUCCCUAGUUGCUCUGUUGCAAUAAACCACUGGCUGUAGGGUAUCCGUCAUACUAACCUGCUAAAGAGGGCUGCCAGUUUUUAUGAAAUGAGCCUCACGAUACUGUAUGUAUUUAUAUAUUUAUUUUAGGUAAUUUUAGGUGGACUAAUCAGGUUUUUUUUCCCUCUGGCAACAGGCGCCAUUAAUGCUGCUAAAAUGUAAUCAGUCCCUCUUAGUUUGGGCGCAUUUGGUGUAAUUUUUACAAGUAAGACAUUAAAGUAUGUAUUGGUGUACAAAGCUAACUAUUAAGUGUGCAUAUAUUGAUGCAAUAUGACUGAUUUUUAAAUGUGAAUUUUGACCAAAAUGAAAAUGUAUGAUUGUGUUUACAAAAUUGUCACCAUCACAAAACUUUGUGCAUAUUAAUACUUUCAAAUUGUUUAACAACCUAUAAGGGAAACUGUUCUUGUUGCAUUUUGUAUACAUUUCUGAAUUUACUGAUAUUUUUAUGUUCUGUUUACCAAUGUUUGCACUUCUUUUAAGUUGGCUCCUCUGGAUUUAGGGGGGGAAAAACGUUAAUUCAGAGAUUUCACAGUUAACCACGGCAUAAUGUAGCACAUUUGCUCUGUAAUAUUUGUCUUGGGGUUUUAAAUGACCGUUAACAUGGCACAUCUCACAAACUGUGACACUUUUGUUGCUGUGAUGGACUGAAUGAGUGAAGCAUUUUAAUAAAAUACACUGUUUUCCCCUUAAAUUGAAUUUAUCUCAAAAUGAUUUAACAAUAACCAUAACGAUAACUAUGUUGAGGCAUGCAAACUAAAAUUAACAUAGCAUAGGCAUCACAAAGAACUAGGUCUUUCAUGUUUUAUGAUGCCACCUAGUGGUAGAGCUUGGUGAUGUUUCAUUCAGUCUUUGAACAGUCAGAACUUUCUUCUGUUGAGUCUUGGUGGUUUGUUUUUUUUCUAAUAUUGAAAUGGUAUUUCAGUCAUCUGCCAGUAUGCCUUGUAUAUGCAGAAUUGUAUCACUCUUCAUUCAUCUUUUGCUUUACAGUUAUAAACUGUACACUGGGCACAUAUGAUCAUAUUGGUUUAAUUGUACAAUGCCUUUACUCACAGUUAUCGUAACAUACAUUUGCGUUACGUAUUAGGGGUCAUCAUACAGUUAUUAAGUUAUUGUUAUAUACUAUAUGUUGUUCAGAAAAUGCAGGUUUCGACAACAGCAUCCUUUGUCUCAAAAUCUUUUUGGAUAUUUUAUCCAAUUUCAUCCUGUGUCCAGAACAGAAAAAAAUAUUUGGAACCAUUGUUUGAUACUUUUCUUUUGACCAUUUGCUGUCACAGAUUUGUUUUGUUUGUACUAAAUAUGAAUUCUUUAAGUGGUUUUCGUCAGCUUGUCAGUAAUUUAUUUAUUGUUUUUUGUUAGAGUAGAUGAGAGAAUUCAUGCCACAAUGCAGAACACAUGUAUUUUCUGUGGCAAAAAAUAAGACAAAUAUUGAAGAAAGCUCAUACCCACAUCAAAGUGUAAUAAUCAAUGUGUCACUGUUUUUCAGUUUUUAUUGUCAAUUAAGGUGUUCAAAAUAUAGAUUUUUAAUCUGUCUUUAUAAUGUAUAUAUGGGUUCUAACCUCUAGAUAUAUUGCACAGUUUCUUGGGGGUCUGAUGCUAUUUUCUCGAUUUUUACGUCUUUUUAAAAUUAACCUUCCACAGUACUUGCAUAUAAGAUCCAAGUUUUUUAUAAUUAAAAAAAAUGGUUCGAUAUUUAACAAUUUGUGAAAACGCACCUUUAACCGUGUCUUAAAGUGUUUUGGUGCUUAAAUGUGUUUACCGUCUCAGUCUCAGAUUCGCAAUAGUAGUAGAGCAUCUUCCUGUUAGCUGACGUAUGUCGUCAUUGGUCACGAGCUUCUGGGAGGAGCUGUUCAGAGAGGCGAAUCAGAUCUGAACCACGUUCGAAGCGUCGCCUCCGUUUGCAAGUAGUGCGGGAGAACGUCACCACCGAGGUCCGGAUGCUUAAAGUUUUUGUCGAAAAGCAGGUUUACUGGUUCAGCUGCUGCAGUCUGGACACAAACACCAGCUCCCACCUUAAAAAGCAAACAGAGGCCUGGACUACGAAGGGAGUUUAAGACACUCUGGUUUAACUCGGGUUAUCAAGGAACGUCGGGGUUGACAGACGUCGGCUGCCUCGAUCUGCGUUAACUACAGCGAUGGUUAAGAUAUCAGUGUCUCCACUUCAUGUCCACGAUCAGAGAAUCUUUGAACAAUGAAGGAAUUGUUUAGACCAGGACAGAGGCCUCCAGAAUUCAAACUUCAACCAUUAAAUCACAGAGAGAAGAGACCGACAUGAAGAUGUUUCCAGAAGAAUCACUUCUGUGUCCGACCCUCCUCCCACUGAAAUCAACACGACUCAACUCUACUGUGACAUUGAGUAUUUUUAACUGUUUAUGAUUGUUUGUUAUGGUUUACUGUAUUAUGACAUUUUUGAAUGUUGUUCAUGCCUUGAGUGUUUUUGACAGUUUUCCAUGUUUUACUGACAUUUGUUCACUGUUUUGUAUGUCUUUUUAUUGUGUGACAAUAAAUUGUGUGUGUGUAUUGUGUUUCCUGUUAGGAAGAGAUAGCAGAGGAAUGAGAGUAAAGGGAUGGGACACCCUUUGGCCCAGCCCUUUACUCAGAUAGGACAGUGUAGAUGAGCAUGGGAAUAACAUGCAAUAAACACUUAGCUGGGGCACAUGAGCCUAUAUGGGCGCCCCAUUUUUUUUUAUUUUUUUUUUUCUGUUUUUUUUCCCAUUGACAUUUUUUUAAUUUUUCCAUUCAAAUUUUUGACAUUUUUCUUUUUUCAAUGUAACACUUAAGAAUAAAAUUUUUCCUCCAAAAUUUCUCUUGUUUUCUAUACAAAAAAUGCAUUGAAUAA